CAUCAUGCUCUCUUCCUUCCAGCUUCCUCUGAGGAAUGAGGGAGGAGGACAAAGGGCGAGAGGGGGGUUCUGGAAGGAGGACGUGAUUUAUUCCAAGGCAUUUCCAGGGAGUGUCAUGAAUAAAUUUUGAGUUAGGCUGCCUCGUCAAGUGAUGAAGGUGAAAGGAAAGAUGACCAUGCAGAAAACGACUGCAAGCACAGUGAGGGUUCCAGGUGAGCUGAAACCUAUGCCAGUCACACUCACACCAACGGACAACUUUAACGAAUGCAGGAUCCCAGAUUCGAACCCCAAACCUCUGAGAUGCUAAUCACUUUCUCACUGUGCAGCCCAAGUCUUGAAAUUGUCUGAUCAUUUUACUCAUUUUGUAAAAGCACCGGAUGGACAUUCCAGACCUAGAAGCAAUUGUUAAAAAUCAGCAAAAUAGAGAUCAUAUAGAAAAACUUAUUCAUAAUCUCCCACACAUUUUACCUUAUUAAAACACACUUUUCAAAUACAUUGUAAAUGCAUUUGAAGUAAAAACCCAAAAAAAAAAAAAAAAAAGAAAAGAAAAAAGGUACAGAAAAUAAUGGAUGUAUUGCAGUGUCUGUAUACAUGCAUACCUUUAAGAGACUUUUCCACUCCUGUAAACAUAGGUGAAAUGCCAGGACCCAACAUUAUCGUGACAUAUCGGCAAUUCUAUUUUGGAGCUACUGAAUGAUCAAUGGGCUGGAUAGAUGGUUGGUUGGAGCCAGUCACAAGAAGGGGUCAAGCCAUAUCACCUAUGACAAAACUUUCAACUCUGCAUUUCCUCACAUCUGGGUUGAUUUCAGCACAUUGUGACAAUUAGUGCAUAUUUUCAGGUGGGCUCUCCCGAGUUACGCAGGAUAAGCACAUUCCACCAAUUCACACGCACUCAGGGUGUGUUAUAUCAAACAAAACAUGGCUUUUUUGCAGUCACUGGCUUCCCCUAAAUUAUUGGCGCUAUAGAUUUCUGUAAUCAUGUGUUUGUCUUCCAGUAACACUUCCAAUUCCAUCACUUCAAACUUCUCCAAAUUUUCCAGUCUACACCACUUUUACACCUGUUGCCAAUAGCGCCUGCAAUCCAUUAGAGUGAGUGAACACGCAAUUUAGCACCUGCUAUUUAGGAUCUUAGUAAAUUAAGCCAUAAGUGUUUUACUGUUCUCCCAGUGUUCAAUAAACAGCAAAAUGCAUCGGCAACUAAGGGUCUGCUUUCCCACAUGCAAGGGCAUUACAGUAAGUACAGUAAGCAUACA